rnacentral:rRNA from 1 species
UACGUAGGGUGCAAGCGUUAAUCGGAAUUACUGGGCGUAAAGCGUGCGCAGGCGGUUGUGUAAGACAGAUGUGAAAUCCCCGGGCUCAACCUGGGAACUGCAUCCGAAACUGCCUUGCUAGAGUAUGGGAGAGGGAAGUGGAAUUUCCGGUGUAGCGGUGAAAUGCGUAGAUAUCGGAAGGAACAUCAGUGGCGAAGGCGACUUCCUGGACCAAUACUGACGCUCAGGUGCGAAAGCGUGGGGAGCAAACAGG